AUGUUCGGUCGGGAUAAGCGCUGAAAGCAUCUAAGUGCGAAGCUCGCCUCGAGAUGAGGUUCCCCACCGGGUCAACCGGGUAAGACCGCAGGGAGACCACCUGUUUGAUAGGCCGCAUGUGGAAGUCCGGCGACGGAUGAAGCUGAGCGGUACUAAUGGUCGAGGGCUUGACCUCUU
rnacentral:rRNA from 1 species